CAAGUGUUUUCUCCCUCGCAGCAGCCAAAUUCCAGAGCGGUAACACAGGAAGAAGAAAGAGAGCGAUCGAUAUUACAAAUCAUAGCUGGAGCAACAGAUUUGUUCCUGAAAUCCUCUGUGAACUGCACAGGAACUCUGGCCGAAGUCCAGACGCACUCAGUGAAGAAGUGAGUCACCCACUGUUCUGAUUUUGUGAUCAGGUGCUUCCAUCGGCAACUGGAAUUUAAUCAAAGCUUUAA